UGGGGAAUAUUGGACAAUGUGCGCAAGCCUGAUCCAGCCAUGCCGCGUGAGUGAUGAAGGCCCUAGGGUUGUAAAGCUCUUUCACCGGUGAAGAUAAUGACGGUAACCGGAGAAGAAGCCCCGGCUAACUUCGUGCCAGCAGCCGCGGUAAUACGAAGGGGGCUAGCGUUGUUCGGAUUUACUGGGCGUAAAGCGCACGUAGGCGGACUUUUAAGUCAGGGGUGAAAUCCCGGGGCUCAACCCCGGAACUGCCUUUGAUACUGGAAGUCUUGAGUAUGGAAGAGGUGAGUGGAAUUCCGAGUGUAGAGGUGAAAUUCGUAGAUAUUCGGAGGAACACCAGUGGCGAAGGCGGCUCACUGGACCAUUACUGACGCUGAGGUGCGAAAGCGUGGGGAGCAAACAGG
rnacentral:rRNA from 1 species